AGUGAACGCUGGCGGUAGGCCUAACACAUGCAAGUCGAACGGCAGCACAGUAAGAGCUUGCUCUUACGGGUGGCGAGUGGCGGACGGGUGAGGAAUACAUCGGAAUCUACUUUUUCUUGGGGGAUAACGUAGGGAAACUUACGCUAAUACCGCAUACGACCUACGGGUGAAAGCAGGGGAUCUUCGGACCUUGCGCGAUUGAAUGAGCCGAUGUCGGAUUAGCUAGUUGGCGGGGUAAAGGCCCACCAAGGCGACGAUCCGUAGCUGGUCUGAGAGGAUGACAAGCCAAACUGAAACUGAGAAACGGCCCAAACCCCACGGGAGGCAGCAGUGGGGAAUAUUGGACAAUGGGCGCAAGCCUGAUCCAGCCAUACCGCGUGGGUGAAGAAGGCCUUCGGGUUGUAAAGCCCUUUUGUUGGGAAAGAAAAGCAGCAGGUUAAUACCCCGCUGUUCUGACGGUACCCAAAGAAUAAGCACCGGCUAACUUCGUG
rnacentral:rRNA from 1 species